CAAACUAAAGAUGGCGACCGGCGCACGGGUGAGUAACACGUAUCCAACCUGCCGAUAACUCGGGGAUAGCCUUUCGAAAGAAAGAUUAAUAUCCGAUAGCAUAUAUUUCCCGCAUGGGUUUUAUAUUAAAGAAAUUCGGUAUGAGAUGGGGAUGCGUUCCAUUAGUUUGUUGGGGGGGUAACGGCCCACCAAGACUACGAUGGAUAGGGGUUCUGAGAGGAAGGUCCCCCACAUUGGAACUGAGACACGGUCCAA
rnacentral:rRNA from 1 species